UACGAAGGGGGCUAGCGUUGCUCGGAAUCACUGGGCGUAAAGGGUGCGUAGGCGGGGCUUUAAGUCAGGGGUGAAAUCCUGGAGCUCAACUCCAGAACUGCCUUUGAUACUGAGGAUCUUGAGUUCGGGAGAGGUGAGUGGAACUGCGAGUGUAGAGGUGAAAUUCGUAGAUAUUCGCAAGAACACCAGUGGCGAAGGCGGCUCACUGGCCCGAUACUGACGCUGAGGCACGAAAGCGUGGGUAGCGAACAGG
rnacentral:rRNA from 1 species